rnacentral:rRNA from 1 species
ACGGCCGCGGUAUUUUGACCGUGCGAAGGUAGCGCAAUCACUUGUCUUUUAAAUGGAGACCCGUAUGAAUGGCUCCACGAGGGCUUAGCUGUCUCCCCCUCCCAGUCAAUGAAAUUGAUCUCCCCGUGCAGAAGCGGGGAUACUUACAUAAGACGAGAAGACCCUAUGGAGCUUAAGGCGCCAGGACAGCUCAUGUUAAACACCCCUAGAUAAAGGAAUGAACCUAGUGAAUCCUGCCCCAGUGUUUUUGGUUGGGGCGACCGCGGGGAAAUACAAAACCCCCAUGUGGAGUAGGAACACUAUAUGUUCCCAAACCCAAGAGCUACCGCUCUAAUAAACAGAAUUUCUGACCAGCUAAGAUCCGGCAAUGCCGAUCAACGGAAGGAGUUACCCUAGGGAUAACAGCGCAAUCCUCUUAAAGAGUCCUUAUCGACAAGGGGGUUUACGACCUCGAUGUUGGAUCAGGACAUCCUAAUGGUGC